CUUCACUGUAACCCUACUAUCUCUUUUAAUUCAGAAUUUCAGAAAAUCUUGGUUACUGCUAAAGACAGUGGGAUUAUUUCACAAAAAGAAUUUAGAUUUGUUUUUGUUUCAAAAAAUCCUGUUAUCCCUAUUUUUAAUUUUCUUCCUAAAACCCAUAAACGUCUCCCCAAUCCACCAGGUCACCUCAUCAUUAGUGGGGUAAAUUCAUUAACUGCGAAUUUGUCUGCCUAUGUGGACUCUUUUCUUCAGAAAUAUGCCCAAGGGGCACCUUCGUACAUUAGAGAUACCAAGUCCUUUUUACAGGAACUAGAAAAUAUAGAGUGGGAUCCGGAAUACAGUUGGGCAACAUUGGAUGUGACCUCCUUGUAUACUGUGAUCAGCCACGUAUCGGGAUUGGAAGCACUUGAUUACUAUAUGACCAGAGAUACUGAGUUACCUAUGAGUCAGAAGGAAUUUAUUUUAUCCUCUGUUCAAUUUAUU